CGAGCGGCGGACGGGUGAGUAAUGCUUGGGAACAUGCCUUGAGGUGGGGGACAACAGUUGGAAACGACUGCUAAUACCGCAUAAUGUCUACGGACCAAAGGGGGCUUCGGCUCUCGCCUUUAGAUUGGCCCAAGUGGGAUUAGCUAGUUGGUGAGGUAAUGGCUCACCAAGGCGACGAUCCCUAGCUGGUUUGAGAGGAUGAUCAGCCACACUGGGACUGAGACACGGCCCAGACUCCUACGGGAGGCAGCAGUGGGGAAUAUUGCACAAUGGGCGCAAGCCUGAUGCAGCCAUGCCGCGUGUGUGAAGAAGGCCUUCGGGUUGUAAAGCACUUUCAGUCAGGAGGAAAGGUUAGUAGUUAAUACCUGCUAGCUGUGACGUUACUGACAGAAGAAGCACCG
rnacentral:rRNA from 1 species